rnacentral:rRNA from 1 species
CAUGGCUCAGGACGAACGCUGGCGGCGUGCUUAACACAUGCAAGUCGAACGAAGAGCGACGGAAGCUUGCUUCUAUCAAUCUUAGUGGCGAACGGAUGAGUAACGCGUAAUCAACCUGCCCUUCAGAGGGGGACAACAGUUGGAAACGACUGCUAAUACCGCAUACGAUCUAAUCUCGGCAUCGAGGAUGGAUGAAAGGUGGCCUCUACAUGUAAGCUAUCACUGAAGGAGGGGAUUGCGUCUGAUUAGCUAGUUGGAGGGGCAACGGCCCACCAAGGCGAUGAUCAGUAGCCGGUCUGAGAGGAUGAACGGCCACAUUGGGACUGAGACACGGCCCAGACUCCUACGGGAGGCAGCAGUGGGGAAUCUUCCGCAAUGGACGAAAGUCUGACGGAGCAACGCCGCGUGAGUGAUGACGGCCUUCGGGUUGUAAAGCUCUGUUAAUCGGGACGAAAGGCCUUCUUGCGAAUAGUGAGAAGGAUUGACGGUACCGGAAUAGAAAGCCACGGCUAACUACGUGCCAGCAGCCGCGGUAAUACGUAGGUGGCAAGCGUUGUCCGGAGUUAUUGGGCGUAAAGCGCGCGCAGGCGGAUAGGUCAGUCUGUCUUAAAAGUUCGGGGCUUAACCCCGUGAUGGGAUGGAAACUGCCAAUCUAGAGUAUCGGAGAGGAAAGUGGAAUUCCUAGUGUAGCGGUGAAAUGCGUAGAUAUUAGGAAGAACACCAGUGGCGAAGGCGACUUUCUGGACGAAAACUGACGCUGAGGCGCGAAAGCCAGGGGAGCGAACGGGAUUAGAUACCCCGGUAGUCCUGGCCGUAAACGAUGGGUACUAGGUGUAGGAGGUAUCGACCCCUUCUGUGCCGGAGUUAACGCAAUAAGUACCCCGCAUGGGGAGUACGACCGCAAGGAGUGAAACUCAAAGGAAUCGACGGGGGCCCGCACAAGCGGUGGAGUAUGUGGUUUAAUUUGACGCAACGCGAAGAACCUUACCAGGUCUUGACAUUGAUGGACAGAACCAGAGAUGGUUCUUGUUAUUCGGAAGCCAGAAAACAGGUGGUGCACGGUCGUCGUCAGCUAGUGUAGUGAGAUGUUGGGGUAAGUUCCGCAACGAGCGCAACCCCUAUCUUCUGGGGCCAGCACGUAAUGGUGGGAACUCAUGAG